AUGAACGCUGGCGGUAUGCUUAACACAUGCAAGUCGAACGGGGUGCAUAGUCACCUAGUGGCGGACGGGUGAGUAACGCGUGAGAAUCUGGCCUCAGGUCCGGGACAACCACGGGAAACGGUGGCUAAUACCGGAUGUGCCAUAUUGGUGAAAGAUUAAUUGCCUGAGGAUGAGCUCGCGUCUGAUUAGCUAGUUGGUGGGGUAAAGGCUUACCAAGGCGACGAUCAGUAACUGGUCUGAGAGGAUGACCAGUCACACUGGGACUGAGACACGGCCCAGACUCCUACGGGAGGCAGCAGUGGGGAAUUUUCCGCAAUGGGCGAAAGCCUGACGGAGCAAUACCGCGUGAGGGAGGAAGGCUCUUGGGUUGUAAACCUCUUUUCUCAGGGAAGAAGAAUGACGGUACCUGAGGAAUCAGCAUCGGCUAACUCCGUG
rnacentral:rRNA from 1 species